rnacentral:lncRNA from 1 species
UUUUUCUUUUUCUUUAGCAAUAUCAUUUUCAGUGUAUGGGUAUUCCACAUCUUUGUCAGAUUCAUCCCAAAGUCUUUUACAUUUUUGAGACUAUUAUAAAUGGAAUUCUUACUUUUAUAUUUCAACUUCUGAUUUUUCAUUGUUUUUAUAUAGGAACAAAAUUGGUUUCUGUAUAUUGGUCUUAUAUCCUGCAACUUUUCUAACUUCACUAGUUCUAGUAACUUUUGGGGGAAUUCCAAGGGAUUUUCUACAAAGACCAGGGGUUUGCAAACUAUGGACCAUGGGCUAAAUGUAGUCUGAUGCUUGUUCUACAAGUAAAGUUUUACUGGAACACAGACAUGCUCAUUUGGUUAUAUAUUGUCUAUGAUUCUUUUGUAUUACAAUGACAAAGGUAAGUAGUUCAACAGAGAUAACAUAGAUAAGCACGUCACAUACAAUAAAGGCAGUCUUGUUUCUAUAACCUUCAGUAAAAUGCUGAAUAGUCACUUCUAUUCAGCAUCCUUGUCCUGUUUUGAUCUUAGAGGAAAAGCAUUGUCUUUCACUAUCAUGUAUGGUGUUGAUAGAGAUUUUUUGUUUUGUUUUGUUUUGUCUGUGCCUUUCUAGGGCCGUUCCUGCGGCAUAUGCAGGAAUGGCCCUAGAAAAGGCAAAAAGACCAAAAAAAAAAAAAAAAAAAGUUUCGUAAAAUUCACUACGUAGUCAUCUGGGAUUGAGGUUUUCUUUGUGAAAAGGUUUUUAACUACAGAUUAAAAGUUUUAGUACAUAUAGGGCAAUUAGGGUAUCUAUUUCUUUGUGAGCAAGAUUUUAUGGUUUGCAUUUUCAAAGAAUUGUCUGUUUCAUCUAACUUAUUGGAUUUACUGGCAUAAAUUUUCAGUUUUUUUUAAUCAUCCUUUUAAUACUGGUUGAAAAUGUAGUGAUGUCACCUCUCUCUUUUCUGAUAUCGAUAAUUUGUGUCAUCUUUUUUUCUGAUAACUCUAGCUAAAAAUACAUCAGUUAUGUUGAUCUUUUCAUUGGUUUCCUCUAUUAUUUUGGUUUUCCAUUUUACUGAGUUCUUUUUUUUAAUUCAAAUUACUUUGGGUUUAAUUUGCUCUUCUUUUUCUAGUUUCUUAAAGUGGAAGCUGAGGUUGGUAACUUAAGAUUUUUCUUCUUUCCUAAUAAAGUCAUUUACUUCUCUAAAUUUCCUUCUAAGUGCUAGUUUUGUGUCAUCCCCUACACUGUGUGUGUCAUCCUAUGCAUUCCCUAUUUUUUAUUUUUUGACCCAUUUGUUAUUUAGAUUAUAAAUAUUUGAGGAUUUUCCAAUGAUCUAUGGCAAUUAGUCUUAUUACUGAGGCAAAAACCUCUGGGUACUGUACCAAAUGUUAUAUGAAUCUCGAUGUUUUCCACUCUGGGUAGAAGGAAUAGGCACCAUUCUCAGUACUGUGUGAGCACCAUACACUGUUUCUGCUAAUCCUUUUAGAGGGACCAUAUGCUGAUGAGUAUUCAGCUAAACAAUCAAGGGGGAUCCUCUACAGAUCUUUGAAAAAUUCCCUCUCUGUGCAGUACUCUGUCCUAUAACCCCUAGCCACCUUGGUCUCCUUGGUCUCUCAGCUCCAUCUCCUCAACCCACAGAGUCCAUCAGGCUCUGUCCACUUCCCUGUACUGAAAACUCUCCCAUGGCAGUAAGCUGCAGCAGCCGUAUGUCUCACUCGUUUUUUCUUCUUGCCUCUCAAGUAUC